CUUAGUUUGCAGGGGAACUCGCAAGAGUUGAGAAGGUAGAACCUGACCCUUUGAACCUGUCGGUUAAUACUGUCGUAGGGAGCAAUCAUUUGAGAAAU
rnacentral:ncRNA from 2 species